rnacentral:rRNA from 1 species
GACGAACGCUGGCGGCGUGCUUAACACAUGCAAGUCAAGCGAUGAAGCCCUAGCUUGCUGGGGUGGAAGAGUGGCGAACGGGUGAGUAACACGUGAGUAACCUGCCCCUGACUCUGGGAUAAGCGCUGGAAACGGUGUCUAAUACUGGAUAUGACCUAUCACCGCAUGGUGUGUGGGUGGAAAGAUUUAUCGGUUGGGGAUGGACUCACGGCCUAUCAGCUUGUUGGUGAGGUAAUGGCUCACCAAGGCGACGACGGGUAGCCGGCCUGAGAGGGUGACUGGCCACACUGGGACUGAGACACGGCCCAGACUCCUACGGGAGGCAGCAGUGGGGAAUAUUGCACAAUGGGCGCAAGCCUGAUGCAGCAACGCCGCGUGAGGGAUGACGGCCUUCGGGUUGUAAACCUCUUUUAGUAGGGAAGAAGCGAAAGUGACGGUACCUGCAGAAAAAGCACCGGCUAACUACGUGCCAGCAGCCGCGGUAA